CCUACGGGUGGCUGCAGUAGGGAAUAUUGCGCAAUGGGGGAAACCCUGAAGCAGCAACGCCGCGUGGAGGAUGAAGGUUUUCGGAUCGUAAACUUCUUUUGUUAGAGAAGAUAAUGACGGUUUCUAACCAACAAGCACCUGCUAACUCCGUCCCAGCAGCCGCCGUAAUACGGAGGGUGCAAGCGUUAAUCGGUAUUACUGGGCGUAAAGAUCGCGUAGGUGGGAUAGCAAGUCACAUGUGAAAUCCUAUGGCUUAACCAUGGAACUGCAUUUGACACUGGUAUUCUAGAGUGUGUGAGAGGAAAGUGGAAUUCUUGGUGUAGGAGUGAAAUCCGUAGAGAUCAAGAGGAAUACUCGUGGCGAAGGCGACCUGCUAGAACAUAACUGACGCUGAUGAGCGAAAGCGUGGGGAGCAAACAGGAUUAGAUACCCGAGUAGUC
rnacentral:rRNA from 1 species